rnacentral:misc_RNA from 1 species
CGUGGCAAUGCAAAAUUCCCGGUAUCUCUCGGAAAACUAACUCAUCGGAGCGUACAGCGGCGAGGAAGCACGGUUGAAAUGAUAUUUCUCGUUGCGCCUCUCCUACGGGAUCCUCGUGGCGAAACAUGGCGUCUUCGCGUACAGACGAACGGCCACCAUAAAGGUUCAAAACGAAGGACGAGCGUGGCAUUUAUGUGGUCUAAGGGUUUCGAUUGACGUUUAAAAUCUCGUUGAUUCUAUAAAUUAAUAACGCGUCGGCAAUUAUAAAUAUGCAACAAAAUUUGAUCAAAAGCAAUCGAAAUUGUAGUAAAAGAACAGACCACAGUACUAUAUAGAUAUAUACGCAGAGUUUAUGGUUAUAAAUUAGUAUUGAUGCGCCACCGAUGGAAAUGAAAUUUCAUGAAAGGCUAAAGAAAAUGUAAAAUAUGCAACAGCGCUGUAUUGUUUAAUGAAAUUAAACUGAGAAGAUAUAUCUAUCUACCAUUACAUUAUAAAAUACAUAUUCAUCAAAUUCUUCGCUAAAAUGGACAUGUGCAUUUCUUUUUAAUAAAUUUACUGUCGAAUAACUAUGUAAAAUGUGUUUAUGCUACGUUAGCAACAACAAUAAUUUUGCAAUAUGGACGUGAGAUAUUUGUAUUUUUUGGAAAAUGCGUUGAAUGUGUAUUGAAUGAAUUAAAACAUGCAUUUUAACAAUAUCUGCAAUUAAAAUUUUUUUCAAUACGA